GAACAGAAACAUGACUGUACACUGGUCUGGCAUCUAUGUGCCUCAUUUCUUCAUUUCAUCUCUAGUCUCUGUCAGAAGCUUGACAGUCCUUGACCGUUCCCAUCCACCCUCACUGUAUGGAAUAAAGAAACCUGAACGUCCUUCAAAACGUCUUCCAUUGUGGUCCUACAGGUCCUACAGCUGAAAAAUCUCCAUCCCAGCAUUGACCGUAUACAGAUAUGCUCCAGCGAGCUUUCGUGAGGGAUGUUGCUGGAUAUGAAAUUACCAGGAACCGAAAUGCACCUGCUACAAGUGUCUGUAUCAGAAAAGGUUUGUAAAGCGAGGAGGAGGAUCACAGGGUGUGAUGAGGAACGUCCCAAGCAGGUGUGUGUUAUUGCUGUGGGUGUUCUGCUUGUGCUGGGCUGUAGCUCAAAGGCCUUAACGAUGAGAGGUAGUAAAAACACAAACCAUUCCUCUGGGUGACAUUGUGCUUUAAUUAAAGGGCUCAAAGCAAACACAGGGAGAUGGAUGAGUGUGUGUGCUGGGUGUGAGUGAGAAUGGUUAAGAAAACCACUUUCAUCUUUCUUUUGAGAAUGC
ensembl:lncRNA